AUUGAACGCUGGCGGCAUGCCUUACACAUGCAAGUCGAACGGUAACAGGUCUUCGGAUGCUGACGAGUGGCGAACGGGUGAGUAAUACAUCGGAACGUGCCCGAUCGUGGGGGAUAACGAGGCGAAAGCUUUGCUAAUACCGCAUACGAUCUACGGAUGAAAGCGGGGGAUCUUCGGACCUCGCGCGGACGGAGCGGCCGAUGGCAGAUUAGGUAGUUGGUGGGAUAAAAGCUUACCAAGCCGACGAUCUGUAGCUGGUCUGAGAGGAUGAUCAGCCACACUGGGACUGAGACACGGCCCAGACUCCUACGGGAGGCAGCAGUGGGGAAUUUUGGACAAUGGGCGAAAGCCUGAUCCAGCCAUGCCGCGUGCAGGAUGAAGGCCUUCGGGUUGUAAACUGCUUUUGUACGGAACGAAAAGCCUCUUUCUAAUAAAGAGGGGUCAUGACGGUACCGUAAGAAUAAGCACCGGCUAACUACGCG
rnacentral:rRNA from 1 species